rnacentral:lncRNA from 1 species
AACAAUAACAUAAUAUCAGGAAUUAAAUCAGAAACUAAACACUUAUGAUUUUAUAAUCACAUCUUAACAUGCCCUCUUGAUUCAAAAUCACUAAUAUCCAAUUGUUGACCAAAAUAAGUAUGUUUUGGCUGAGACAAUGACUUAGUGAAUAAGUUUGCAACUUGAUCAUUAGUACCACAAAAUUUCAACUCUAUUUCUCCAUUUGCAACCAACCUUCGAAUAAAAUGGUGCCAAAUCUCAAUAUGCUUUGUUCUGCUGUGGAAAGCUGGGUUUUUUGUCAUUGCUAUUGUACCUUUGUUAUCACAAUAAAUUUUAGUUGUUGCCACUUGCUCUUGAUCCAAGUCAGCCAAAACUCGCCUAAGCCACACAGCUUGAUAUGCUAUAGAAGUUGCAGCAAUAUAUUCUGCUUCUGAAGAUGACAAAGCUACAGUAUCCUGCUUCUUUGAGCUCUAUGAGAUGGCACCUGAACCAAGACUGAAAGUAUAACCUGAUGUACUCUUUCUAUCAUCUAAAGAACAUGCCCAAUCACUAUCAGUAUAGCCAAAUAAUUUGAAAUUUGAUAUGGUGGUAUACCAAAUUCCAAAAUUAACAGUUCCAGCAACAUAUCACAAUACCUUUUUUGCUGCUCCAAGAUGAUACUUUGUUGGACUGUGCAUGAACCUGGAUACGACACUAACAGAAAAGGCGAUAUCAGGUCGUGUAUGAGACAAAUAGUUCAGUCCACCAACCAUCCUCCGAAAAUAAGUUACAUCAGCCUUCUCUGUCCCAUCUUCAGCUUGUAAUUUUUCAUUCAAAUUCAUUGGAGUUACAGCCACAUUGCAUUUUGCCAUGCUAAAUUUCUUAAGCAAAUCAUUUGUAUAUUUUUGUUGUCCAAUAAAUAUCUCAUCUGCAUAUUGUUUCACCUCAAGCCCAAGAAAAUAUUGUAAUAACCCCAAAUCUGUCAUCUCAAAAUUUGUCAUCAUAGAAGACUUAAAAUCAGUAAUAAGACAAUUAUUGGAUCCAAAAUAAAUCAUGUCAUCAACAUAAACACAACAACCAGACAUCCAGCUUUGCCUUCUCUUUUCAAGUAUAAAGUGGGCUCAUUUUCACUUUUAACAAAAUCAUUUUCACAAAAAUAGCUAUCAAUUUUACUAUACCAGGCUCGCGGUGCUUGCUUAAGCCUGUAGAGAGCUUUUCUCAAUCUGAAAACUUUAUCCUUAUGACCUUUUUCAACAAAGCCCUCAGGUUGAGGAACAUAAACUUCUUCCUCUAAAUCUCCGUUCAAGAAGGCAGACUUCACAUCAAAUUGAAAGACAGGAAGGGAUAAUUGAGCAGCUAAAGCAAGCAAUAAUCUUACACUUUCAAGGCGAGCGACGGGUGAGAAUGUUUCUUGACGCGGAACCCUAUGGCACAAGCCUCAAACCCACACGCACAAGCAGAUAUGGAAUCCAAAGAUCUGAUAAACCUACCUCCUAUGGCACCCCAAACUUAGAGAAGCUGAAACACCAAUGAUCGAAGGAUUUAGAUGAGAAUCUGACAAACGCCACAACAAAUAGUUGAUAAGUAAGCCAAGAUUCCUGGUGCAAUUGAUGAAAGCAAAUCCUCACUCUCACUCAAAGCAAUACACGCCAAAGGCAUGAGAAGAAUUCUGAAAUUUUGAUUAAAAGCUACCUCUUACAAUUGUUUCUUAUCCUUAUAUAGUAAGGAGAAAAAGAAAUAAAACCCUAAGACACUCUUCUUGGGCCUGACUUAAACACAUAAGACCCAAGCCCAAUCACACACUAAAAUAACAUAUAAGUAUUAAAAUAUAAGCCCACAACAUGGCCCAACACUCUAAAACUUAAAAGAUAAAAUAUGGCCAGAAUACAAGCCCAAACAAAACUAAAAUAAAACAAGUGUUUAAAUAAUAAAACUAGCAAGCCCAUCAUAACAAAGUUGAAUCUUCACAAAAGCCUUACUUGAUCUUCACUUUAGGCUUUCCUUUAUGUAGUUUUAGCCCAUAGGUUUGAUUAGGCUCCCUCAGCCUAUGAUUGCAAAUGUUGCACCAAAUCUGUCCCAUAUGAGUUAAAGCACGCCCUAAGUAUAUAUGGAUUAUAUGAAUAUGAUUUUGAACUACUCUUGGGUCCAUUGGAAUGAUAUAAGUUUGCUCCACACUAUUGUUAGAAAUUUGUCCUAUUGGAUCCGUAUCAUUUCUUCAUAGUCGAUACUUCGUUGUUGGGCAUAUCCCUUUGCUACAAGUCGUGCUUUAUGCUUUUGCACACUCCCAUCAGCAUGAUACUUGGUUCUGAAAAUCCAUUUGAGACCAAGAACAUUCUUUCCUUUCGGUAAAUCAACCAACUCCCAAGUUUGAUUUUUCUGAAUUGAAGCCAUUUCUUCUUUCAUAGCAAUUUUCCAUUCUUCCAUUGUUGCUGCCUCCUUAUAGAAAAUUGGAUCUAAAACAUUCAAAGCAAAAGAAAAAGUUUCAUAUAUUUCUUUUAAUGAUUGGAUCUUUCUCGGAGAAGUUUCAGAUGAUGAAGAACUUGUGCUGAUUGGACUGGAAGAUUUUGUGCUGGCUUGACUUAAUGAGUUGCUACUUGCUGAAUUUGAUGAUGAAAAAUCAGCAACAUCAUUUGAUGGUGAAGAAUCAGCAACAACAUUUGAUGGUGAAGAAUUAGUAGGUUCACAAAAAUCAGCAGCUUCAUUCUCUAUCACUGGAGCUUGGUCUGACUUCAUAAAUUUUGUCCAAUCCCAUCUUGCAUCUUGAUUAAAAAUCACAUUUCUGCUAACAAUAAUUUUGCCACUUAAAGGGUUAUAUAGCCUAUAUGCUUUAGAUUGAGUGCAAUAGCCAACAAAAAUGCAUUUUUUAGAUUUUUCAUCAAGUUUGUGGUGAGAAUUAACUAAAGCAUAUGCUAUACAACCAAAAAUUCUUAAAUGACUUACACGUGGUUUUCUACCUCUCCAUGCUUCAUAUGGUGUUUCAUUCAUGACAGCCCUUGUUGGAGAAAUAUUCAAAAGAUACACUGCAGUUGCGACAGCUUCAGCCCAGAAAGAAUUCGGAAGGCCUUUGACUUUGAGUAAGCUUCUGGCCAUCUCCAUAACAGUUCGAUUCUUCCGCUCGACAAUACCAUUCUGCUCUGGUGUGUAUGGUGCAGUAAGCUCCCUGUGAAUGCCAUUUUCUUCACAAAAAACAUUAAACUCAAUAGAAUUAAAUUCACCACCUCUGUCAGUCCGGAGACAUUUGAUACUACUAUCAUGUUGAUUUUCUACCACUCUUUUAAAUUUCUUGAAAGUGACAAGGGCUUCAGAUUUACACUUCAAGAAAUAAACCCAGUUCAUACGGCUAUAGUCAUCAAUCAGCAAAAAGAAAUACCAACUACCACCAAAAGAUUCAGUUUGCAUGGGUCCACAUAAAUCCGCAUGUAUCAAUUCAAGACAACCAUUAGCUCUCCAUGACUUUCCUACGGGAAAUGACUUCUUACUUUGUUUACCCAAAACACAUCCCUCACAAAAAUCAAUAGAUCCAAUAUUGGGUAAUCCAUUAACCAUAUUUUGUUGACUCAACAACUUCAACCCUAUUUCAUGCAAAUAUCCAUAACGUAAAUGCCAUAAAGUAGAUUCAGCAAUUUUAUUGACAGCAAGAGCACCAUUUUCAAUGGAAGCAUCCAAUGGAAACAUUUUGUUUUGAGCCAUUGGAACAUUAACAAUGGUAAGACCCGUUUUCUUGUCCAUAAUGCUACAUAAGUUAUCAUCAAAUACGAUUUUAUAUCCACUAGUCAUCAAUUGCCCAAUACUUAAUAGAUUAUAAGCCAGACUAGGAGCAUAUUGCACAUCAUUUAAGAGUUUGGUUUUGCCGUGACAGGUAUUGAUGGCAGAGGUGGUGAAUUUAAUUCUAUUGAGUUCAAUGUUUUUUGAGAAGAAAAUGGCAUUCACAGGGAGCUUACUACACCAUACACACCAGAGCAGAAUGGUAUUGUCGAGCGGAACAAUCGAACUGUUCUGGAGAUGGCCAGAAGCUUACUCAAAGUCAAAGGCCUUCCGAAUUCUUUCUGGGCUGAAGCUGUCGCAACUGCAGUGUAUCUUUUGAAUAUUUCUCCAACAAGGGCUGUCAUGAAUGAAACACCAUAUGAAGCAUGGAGAGGUAGAAAACCACGUGUAGGUCAUUUAAGAAUUUUUGGUUGUAUAGCUUAUGCUUUAGUUAAUUCUCACCACAAACUUGAUGAAAAAUCUAAAAAAUGCAUUUUUGUUGGCUAUUGCACUAAAUCUAAAGCAUAUAGGCUAUAUAACCCUUUAAGUGGCAAAAUUAUUGUUAGCAGAAAUGUGGUUUUUAAUGAAGAUGCAAGAUGGGAUUGGACAAAAUUUAUGAAGUCAGACCAAGCUCCAGUGAUAGAGAAUGAAGCUGUUGAUUUUUGUGAACCUACUGAUUCUUCACCAUCAAAUGAUGUUGCUGAUUCUUCACCAUCAAAUGAUGUUGCUGAUUUUUCAUCAUCAAAUUCAGUACAUAGCAACUCAUUAAGUCCAGCCAGCACAAAAUCUUCCAGUCCAAUCAGCACAAGUUCUUCAUCAUCUGAAACUUCUUCGAGAAAGAUCUGAUCCUUAAAAGAAAUAUAUGAAACUUGUUCUUUUGCUUUGAAUGUUUCAGAUCCAAUUUUCUAUAAGGAGGCAGCAACAAUGGAAGAAUGGAAAAUUGCUAUGAAUGAAGAAAUGGCUUCAAUUCAGAAAAAUCAAACUUAGGAGUUGGUUGAUUUACUGAAAGGAAAGAAUGUUAUUGGUCUCAAAUGGAUUUUCAGAACCAAGUAUCAUGCUGAUGGGAGUGUGCAAAAGCAUAAAGCACGACUUGUAGCAAAGGGAUAUGCCCAACAUCGAGGUAUCGACUAUGAAGAAACAUUCUCACCAGUCGCUCGCCUUGAAACUGUAAGAUUAUUGCUUGCUUUAGCUGCUCAAUUAUCCAUUCCUGUCUUUCAAUUUGAUGUGAAGUCUGCCUUCUUGAACGGAGAUUUAGAGGAAGAAGUUUAUGUUUCUCAACCUGAGGGCUUUGUUGAAAAAGGUCAUAAGGAUAAAGUUUUCAGAUUGAGAAAAGCUCUCUACGGGCUUAAGCAAGCACUGCGAGCCUAGUAUAGUAAAAUUGAUAGCUAUUUUUGUGAAAAUAAUUUUAUUAAAAGUGAAAAUGAGCCCACUUUAUACUUGAAAAGAGAAGGCAAAGCUGGAUUUCUGGUUGUGUGUGUUUAUAUUGAUGACAUGAUUUAUUUUGGGUCCAAUAAUUGUCUUAUUACUGAUUUUAAUAAAGUCUUCUAUGAUGAGAAAUUUUGAGAUGACAGAUUUGGGAUUAUUACAAUAUUUUCUUGGGCUUGAGGUGAAACGAUAUGCAGAUGGGAUAUUUGUUGGACAACAAAAAUAUACAAAUGAUUUGCUUAAGAAAUUUAGCAUGGCAAAAUGCAAUGUGACUGCAACUCCAAUGAAUUUCAAUGAAAAAUUACAAGCUGAAGAUGGGACAGAGAAGGCUGAUGUAACUUAUUUUCGGAGGAUGGUUGGUGGACUGAACUAUUUGUCUCAUACACGACCUGAUAUCGCCUUUUCUGUUAGUGUCUUAUCCAGGUUCAUACAUAGUCCAACAAAGCAUCAUCUUGGAGCAGCAAAAAGGGUAUUGCGAUAUGUUGCUGGAACCGUUAAUUUUGGAAUUUGGUAUAUCACCGUAUCAAAUUUCAAAUUAUUUGGCUACACUGAUAGUGAUUAGGCAGGUUCUUUAGAUGAUAGAAAUAGUACAUCAAGUUAUACUUUCAGUCUUGGUUCAGGUGCCAUCUCAUGGAGCUCAAAGAAGCAAGAUACUAUCGCUUUGUCAUCUUUAGAAGCAGAAUAUAUUGCUACAACUUCUGCAGCAUGUCAAGCUGUGUGGCUUAGGCGAGUUUUGGCUGACUUGGAUCAAGAGCAAGUGGCAACAACUAAAAUUUAUUGUGAUAACAAAGGUACAAUAGCAAUGACAAAAAAUCCAGCUUUCCACAGCAGAACAAAGCACAUUGAGAUUUGGCACCAUUUUAUUCGAAGGUUGGUUGCAAAUGGAGAAAUAGAGCUGGAAUUUUGUGGUACUAAUGAUCAAGUUGCAGACUUAUUCACUAAGUCAUUGUCUCAGCCAAAACAUACUUAUUUUGGUCAACAAUUGGGUAUCAGUGAUUUUGAAUCAAGAGGGCAUGUUAAGAUGUGAUUACAAAAUCAUAAGUGUUUAGUUUCUAAUUUAAUUCCUGAUAUUAUGUUAUUGUUAGUAGUGGAAAAUAAAAUCAUAUCUGCUGCAGAUUAGUUGCAGAUUUUUUAGGCCAUUUAGUUAUGUUCAGUUUACUUUGUAAUGCCUAUAAAAGGCUUUGUUUUCUUUUCUUUGAUAGAAUAAAAUAGAGAUCCACUUUCUCUCUUAGAGAUUCACUUCCUCUCUUUUGUUUCUGUUUCCCUAUUAUAUUUAUCAGCACCAACUUGUCAUCACCUAGCCGAACUGUUGAUUUCUCUUUCUCAUCAAGCUCUUUAAACAAUUGCUUUGUACCUGACAUGUGAUUAGAACACCCACUAUUCAAGAACCAAACAGCAUUAGCAUGGAUAGCAAUUUUAUCAAUAGCAUGAGCCAUAAAUAGCAUACUCUCUUCUGGUUCCUCUUCUUCUUCAGCAACAUUGGCAUGCUUUCCUUCAUUCUUUUGCUUUUCUUCAUCCCUUUUCUUGGCCAAACAAUCAGCUUCUCUAUGGCUUGGUCUAUCACAAUACCAGCAUUUGAUUACAUAACUUUCAUACUGUCGCUGUUCUCCAGAACGACCUCCUCUUCCACGGCAGCUACUGCCGCGAUCCCGACCAUGAUAACCAGCACGAUAACCACUGUGAGAGGAUUCUCCUUUCACUUGAAAUGCCUUUUCUUCAAUUCUCACUAAUGAUUUAUUUAUCCCUCCUUCAUGAGCUUGUAAAGAACCCAAUAAAUCAUCAAAAGAAUAAGAAGAUAAGUCUUUAGACUCUUUUAUUGCAGCAACCACAUUAUCAAAUUUAGGAGUCAGACUCCUCAACAAUUUUAAAACCACAGUCUCAUCAGUAAUUUUUUCACCAUAUGCUUUCAUUUGAGAGACAAUUUUAGAAGCUCUUGAUAAAUAUGCAUGAACAGACUCAAAAUCACUCAUUUGAAGCGUUUCAAAUGAUGGACGAAGAGAUUGAAGUUUCACAGUGAUUACCUCUGAGCAACCUUGAAAUUCAGUUUUUAGAAUCUGCCAUGCUUCCUUAGAAGUUUUCGCUGCUGAAAUACCCGAAAAAAUCUCUUCUGAUACAGCUUGUUGGAGGAAGAACAGAGCUUUUGCAUCUCUCUUUCUAUUGUCUUUUAGCUUUUUCUCAUCAUCUGAGUCGUCGUACCCGGUCUCAACUAGCUCCCACAAUUCCUGCGAAAUAAACAUGGUUCGCAUUUUUAUGGCCCAAAAUUCAUAAUUAUUUCAGUUGAAGAAAGGAAUUAAAGGUUGGGUGGAAGUAGCAGUGCCAUUUACCGCCAUUUGAAAGGUUUGCGUGAACCACUCUUAUCUUUUUUUUUUCUCUCUCUCCACUUUACCCAAAUAGUGGCUCGGAUACCAAAAUAUGUUGGUGCUUAUAAAGAUAAUACGGAAACAGAAACAAAAGAGAGGAAGUGGAUCUCUAAGAGAGAAAGUGGAUCUCUGUUUUAUUCUAUCAAAGAAAAGAAAACAAAGGCUUUCAUAGGCAUUACAAAGUAAACUGAACAUAACUAAAUGGCCUAAAAAAUCUGCAACUAAUCUGCAGCAGAUAUGAUUUUAUUUGCCACUACUAACAAUAACAUAAUAUCAGGAAUUAAAUCAGAAACUAAACACUUAUGAUUUUGUAAUCACAUCUUAACAUGGUCGACCCUCUGAAAAACAUGAAUAUGAGGCACAAUAAAUAAUCGUCAGAGGAUCUUCAACAAGUUUGUAUCAGAUAAAUACAUUGAAGGUGCUAGGCUAAACUAGGGAGGAAGGAGGCAGAGCUCUAGCCAUCUCAUUCUCCUCUAGGUGUUUGAAGGACAGGGAGCAGUAGAUCGACUCCGUGGGUGUCUUCGAGAGUACCAUUCUUUCACUGAAAAGCAUAAAUUACAGGUUGAAGCUUCCACUUGUUAAUCGUAUCCUGCAUGCAAAAACUAAGACACAAAGCAACAAACAGCACACAAACAUAGAUCAAAAGAAGGUUAGAGCAUAGUAUGGGAAGCAAAACAGUAGAUCGAAAAAUCCCUCUCGUUCUAAGCAUCAGAUCUACGAAAAAAAAAAAAGAAAGAAAAAAACAUACUAUUUACAACUCACCCAGAAGUGAGGAGGGAACUCACGAUCCAAGUGGGGAAAGAGAAACCUUCCCCUGCCUAGCGGGAAAAACAAAAGCCACAAAUUAGCAAAAGAAGAAACCUAGUUCAAUGAGAGAGAGAUGCGCAUUUCAUUUAACGUGAACAUGUAUAUGUACACAGUUAGCUGCAACUGCUCAACUAAUAUUACCAAUCAGCAAGUGCCAGCACAUCUUCUUAACA